CGCCAUUCAGACUAGAGCACAAUAAGUAGGAUGUCUACGCAUUCCUGCUGGACAGAAGAGUGACUAUACUGGCCCAGAGCAGCAAGUGUUGUGCUGUCUAAACAAAAUACCCUUCAGGACCAAGCACUGGUCAGGGCUGUUGGCCGUAAAGGAUCUGAUUAUAGCGUGGAGCAGCAAGAAUUCUGCUCGCCAUGCAAAACGGCCUUCGAACUCGACCAAAGGAGCUAAAAUGUUACUCAGGCCUGCUUGCUGGCAGUGUGCUGAUUUUGGCCCAAAGCAGAAACUGUUCUGAACACUUGACAAAACGGCAUUCAGAGCCAACCACUACUCAGAUCUAUUGUCCGUGAAGAAGCUGAUUUCAGCCCACAGCAGGAAGCAUUCCGGUCACCAGGCAAGAUGGUGUUCAGAC